rnacentral:rRNA from 1 species
AUGUCCCGGCCAUUCCCUCCAUUGUUCGUCCCACUGGUCCUGCUGCUGCUAACAUCGACCUCGUCGCCGGCCACCGCCGCGGCAGAGAUCGCGGAGGCGCCGUCCGCCGUUGGCUGCAGCGGCAGCGCGGAGGCAGCGUCGCGGGUGGUGGCGGAGAGCUGCACGGACGACAUCGUCAGGUCCUUCUUCGGCGUGCGCGGCAGCGACGCCUGCUGCCGCGCGCUGGAGACGGCCGGCGCCGGGUGCUACCGCGCGGUGUUCUCCGGCUCCCCGUUCGCCGAUAUCUACCCGACCAUCCUCGGUAACGUCUGCGGCCUCGCCGUGGCUCCCAGCCCCGGGGAACGAUCGUACUACUAG